CUGUUUCGGCUUCAUAACGAUUCAGUCUGUGAUGUCAUUGUAUCCCCCUUUGAGUUUUGACUGUGAAAAUAAAAAAAUACGUUCAAAUUCUGAGUUCUGAGACGCAACAUUCAUAAAAUGUAGAUUUUUUACGGUCUCUUGCUCCGUCUGACGUCUCCUCUUUUCUACAGAGGACGAAGUUUCUUCGGCUGGCCUGAAGAUUCUACGACUUCUGCCACCGCUGGUUUGCGUCGGGUGGAAUGACCAGGCAACAUGUACCACUGAAGACCGCAAAGUUCCAGCCUUUCCUCCGCAAGGGGAUGUAACCAAUCUCGUGGACCGUACCAUUUCCGCUGCACCUGAUUGGCUGAAGGGGUUGGAUGGUACCUCUCGACAGGAAGACAUUUCUUCGGCUGCCCUCAAGAUUGUACUCCUUCUGCGACCGCUUGGCCAAUACUGGGUAUGCUGUUAGUUUGGGGGCGGCAAGAUCUGGCUACUUCUACCACUGAAGGACGGAGCGUCAAGACCUGGCAACUUGUACCACUGAAGUAAAGUCCAGCCCUUCCGCAAGAGGAUGAAAACCGAUCCUGCGGUCUGGACAAAUUCCGUUCCCCCUGAAUGGCUGAAGGGGUUGGAUUGUACCAUCUGACAGGAAGACAUUUCUUCGGCUGCCCUCAAGAUUGUACUCCUUCUGCGACCGCUUGGCCAAUACUGGGUAUGCUGUUAGUUUGGGGGCGGCAAGAUCUGGCUACUUCUACCACUGAAGGACGGAGCGUCAAGACCUGGCAACUUGUACCACUGAAGUGAAGUCCAGCCCUUCCGCAAGAGGAUGAAAACCAAUCCUGCGGUCUGGACAAAUUCCGUUCCCCCUCAAUGGCUGAAGGGGUUGGAUUGUACCAUCUGACAGGACGAGUUGGUCAUUCCAGUCCCUAAGACCGUGGGAAGUCCCCUGGCACAGGCGUCCAGACCGGAACUACUGAAGGUGUUGGGUGUUGACCUCACCCUAUGACCAGGAAGCUCAUAGGAAGUCUAGAGAGAAAAUUUGCCUGACGAGCUCCAUGUUUCCGUUCGAGUAUUGACUCUGAAAAUAAAUGUCUGCCAAAUAAAAAUCGAUUUGAAAGCUAUUUAUGAAUUUCCUUUCGUUAAUUGCAUGCAUAUUGGGACAGUAUUGGUGUAGUGAUGGCCACUGUUUAGAUGUGUUUUUAUUGCGUAGCCAUCUAAUACAAUCUAUUAUGCAGCUUUUUCACAAAAUCUGCCAAAAACCGCUUUCAGCAGGCAGAUUGGAUAACCAUUUCCGGAGUAAGUUUCUAAUUUAUGAAUAAAAGCCAGGCCCAACUUGUACGGAAAGGACGGCCGCUACAUUCUUGGAUGUUCUUGCUGUAAAUUCACUGGACCGUGACAUUGUUUAAUGAUGACCCUUUGCGUCUGACAUCUAAUUAGACUGAUUUUGGUACCUAGCCAUAUCUCAGACAUUAGCGAUUCAAACCACUUUAAAAUCAAUUUGCAUGAAAUGUAUUCCCAAAUGGAAGUAGGCAUCGCGUGAUUUAAAUCGAGCCAUUACGGGCCUAGGAGACUAAAGUAGGUUAUUAAAAUAUAUCUGCCAGCUAUAAAUACGAAAUAACAAUAUCAACAAUACAUGGCGUUUAUUCUCGUUUAACUGAUAUACCGUACUUGCCACUGCCAGCAACACUUUAAAUGCUUCUGAACGUCAGGGGGACCGGCCACGAAACUUUGCGGCAUAUCAAGCAGAGA